AAAAGGCUGAGCUCGCACAGGAGCUCAUUUUCCACUCGGCACUCGAUGAGAGCACAUCUCUGCCUGUCCAACUAUUGACAGCUAACCUAGCAAAGAGAAAUUUUUUGGCAAACAGCUUUCCAUGCCUUCAGAAAGGGACACCAGUGUGGACUUGGAUGAACAGUUAUUUAGUUUCAGGAGGCCCUAUGGAAGCUUCACCAGCAGACGAACCAACGACAGCAAAUGCCAGUCCUCCAAGUCGGGCAGAUUUACACUUAAAGAACCCCAUUUUGCUGUGUAAAAGAGAAAAUUAGACUGUGUCUCAGCUGGUGGUGGAGCCAGACAGUCAGGCUGUGUCGAUAAAUGAAGCAGAGGGAGCCUGACCAUGCGUCACACAUUUGACGAGUUAAGAGUGAGAAUGUUGAUAAGACACGAGGGGUGGAGAGACAUGACCUCAAAAAGUGCUAUAAAGAGUGGAAUGUCACCACCCCUUUUCAGUUUGCCUGGUCCUGAAGAAAGAUGUGACGUGGAAUGGAAAGUUCAAUAGACUAAAUCUGCGAUUUUGCUUAUUUAUGUGCGGUACACACUUUCUGCAAAGUCUUUACACAACUAGAAAGCUCUUGGAGCUUGGAGUCAAUAGAUCUUUGCAGCAGCAAACAUGAUUGAGGGGAAAAGGCCAUUAUCACAGCAAGUCGAGCGGGAACUGAUGGGUCUGCAUCCCAACAUGAAUUGGAUUCAGAGUGUCUGUCCUCUCCAGUAAGGCCUGAAGUGCAGAAGGCAGCGUGCCCAGCCAGGGUGACGCCCAAACUGGAGAGCUGCCUGGAAGACAAGUGGAUUUGCGACACAUGACACUGAGCUCAACAAGACACUGGGCAAGCUGUGGCACAUUUUUCAGAGGAACAGGAAUGGGGAAAAGGAGGCGCAACAUCAAUUUGUCACCAUGCAAACAGCCACAGCUCUCAGCCAUAUGUUGCCUUGAACAACCCGCACGCUGAGGCUGGAGACCGCGGAGGAUGCUCUGUGAAGAGGGAGUUGAGUUGAAACCGGAGCCAAUCAUCCCGCCCUGUCUGCUGUGUCCACAGACAGCCUGGGUCUCUCGUGGGGCCCACCCAGCUGCCAUGUACUCAUUUGUCACACUGGGAGGAAGAGACCGCUGGUACACCAACCCUCCCAUAUCCUCCACGCAUCCGUGCCUCGCCAUUUGGUCGAUACGGAGUCAUCCGUUUAAAGGGUGUACUUAUUGUACUUAUUUUUGUGUGUACUUACCCCAUUUUUCUUCUUUUUACUUACCAGAUUCUACGAGCCAUGGAGGGUGUUGCUAGGGAGAACAUGGAUGGUUUGGCCACAGCAUUUUCAAGUGCCUCCAGUGUUCCAUAUUUCCUGACUGACCCAGAGAUCCUCAUUCCUCUGCAGGCUAGUACUGUUGACAAUGCUGGUGAGCAACUAGAUGCUGACUUCGAUUUUGAUGGCAUCGUAAUCGAACCGAGAUGGCUGGAAAGGUUGAAGCUGUUGUUCUCAAAGUUCAACCUUUCUCUCUACCGAAUCCAACAGCUGCGGAAUUCUUGGCAUUUGAUCAAGAAACAUUUUGAUCUAACCAAGUUUUCCAAGGAAGGCUUGGAAGUCCUACACAAGGUUCGAGGCAUCGACCUUGUUGAGCUGGAUGAAGGAUUUAAAUUGCAUGUUGUUGCAAUUCACCGAUCCCUUGUUAGGGUUGACAAAGCCUGUCAGUCCCCACAGAAACCAUUGAUCUCAUCAAUGGUAUGAUGAUCAACUUUGUGGAGAAUCUUAAAUUGUUCUGCUCGCUCUUCAGAAACUUGAAUGUAUGCCUGGUAGAAUGCCCUGCAUGGAUUACAGCUUAGUUUGUAACUGUGUGCUUGGUGUGGCUGAAGAAAUUGCUCAUCAACUUUACUGUUGCGGUGAGGACCUGCAGAUGGCGAGGCAUUGCAACACUUUCCAAUUAAUGUGUUCUUGAGGAGGAAAAGUGUCUUCACUGGUGCUUUGCUAACACUGUCAAUAAAGUCUUGAUGUGUAAGGUGAUAUGGUGUGUUAUGGAGAGAUUGUGUCACUGCAGUCCGGGAGUUCACAUCGUACUGCUGCUCUGCCC
ensembl:lncRNA